UUGGUUCGAUUGUUUUCGAGAGGAAGAGACCAGUGUGGAUAUUUCGGCUCACAGUUCAAAACCUCUAGUAUGAACACUGAAGGAAUCGUGUUUUUGUAGUUGCACAGUUGUUUAACAAUGCAGUCAAGGCGACUACUUCUGUCACCGUGGAAAGCGCUUAGUACUUGUGAGUGUUGUACUUGUCCGCUCCAGGUCAUGUUAAUGUUUAGUCGCCAUUUUCUGUUUCAUUGUGGCUGUAAAGUAGUAGUGUUGUCUACGUGAUACGCAGGUAUACGCUGUAUAACCACUUUAAAAAAAACUCCCGGAUAUCCGUAUACCUGCUUUAAGUGGCCAAGGAUACGUUUCUACAUAGGUCUAUGUGUUGAGCUGCUGCAGCCUGGAGGGAAACACCAGCUCUCACCUCACACACCAAACAGGUCUGUGUGUUGAGCUGCUGCAGCCUGGAGGGAAACACCAGCUCUCACCUCACACACCAAACAGGUGUCAUCGCUUCAUCCAUGAGUCCAGAGACCAGACCAGGAUCCAUGACAGAGCAGCAUCCAGGUGAACUCACAGAAACCACGGGAUCCACUGAAGAUGAAGGAGCAGGUGAAGAUCUGGACCUGGACUUGGACCUGGACCUGGACCUGAGGUGGAUCAGAGAGAAAACAACUGUUAUGAAGCUGUUAAUUAAUUAAUUAAAGACUAAUGAGCCCCUGCAGACUGAAACACAGACACUUUGUUUUCCUCUCUCAUUAACACACAGUGUAGCUCUGAGCUCACAGACCAACAUGUCUCUUUAAACACAGUUAACUGUGUAUGAUAGUUAUUACUCUAUCAUACACAGUUAACUGUGUUGGUCUGUGAGCUCAGAGCUACACUGUGUCUCCUCCUGAUUAAACGUCUGUCAUUAUCUUUACUGUGGUUUGUUAAAUGUUGUCUGGAACAAACUCAAUAAAGGUUUCUUACUAAACUCUGAA